UACAGAGGUCUCAAGCGUUGUUCGGAUUCAUUGGGCGUAAAGUGUGCGUAGGCGGCGCGGUAAGUCGGGUGUGAAAUCUUGGAGCUUAACUCCGAAACUGCAUUCGAUACUGCCGUGCUCGAGGACUGGAGAGGAGACUGGAAUUUACGGUGUAGCGGUGAAAUGCGUAGAUAUCGUAAGGAAGACCAGUGGCGAAGGCGGGUAUCUGGACAGUUCCUGACGCUGAGGCACGAAGGCCAGGGGAGCAAACGGG
rnacentral:rRNA from 1 species